rnacentral:rRNA from 1 species
UAAAACCGAUAACCCCCGUUCAACCUCACCUUUCCUUGUUCUCCCCGCCUAUAUACCGCCGUCGUCAGCUUACCCUAUGAAGGUCCUUUAGUAAGCACAAUUGGUACAACCCAAAACGUCAGGUCGAGGUGUAGCGUAUGGAAAGGGAAGAAAUGGGCUACCACGAAUAAUACACUGAAACGUAUAUCUGAAGGAGGAUUUAGCAGUAAGCAGAAAAUAGAGCGUUCUGCUGAAAGGCCCUGAAGCGCGCACACACCGCCCGUCACUCUCCCCAAAUAUACCCUAAAAACUUUACAUCAAAGGGGAGGCAAGUCGUAACAUGGUAAGUGUACCGGAAGGUGCACUUGGCAAAAC